GACGAACGCUGGCGGCGUGCUUAACACAUGCAAGUCGAACGAUGAUGCUCCAGCUUGCUGGGGUGGAUUAGUGGCGAACGGGUGAGUAACACGUGAGUAACCUGCCCCCUUCUUCGGGAUAAGCUUGGGAAACUGGGUCUAAUACUGGAUAUUCUGCAAUUGUCGCAUGGUGGUUGUGGGAAAGAUUUUUGGGUGGGGGAUGGGCUCGCGGCCUAUCAGCUUGUUGGUGGGGUGAUGGCCUACCAAGGCGUCGACGGGUAGCCGGCCUGAGAGGGUGACCGGGCACACUGGGACUGAGAUACGGCCCAGACUCCUACGGGAGGCAGCAGUGGGGAAUAUUGCACAAUGGGCGCAAGCUUGAUGCAGCGACGCCGCGUGAGGGAUGACGGCUUUCGGGUUGUAAACCUCUUUCGAUGGGGAACAAGGCCAUAUUUUUGUGUGGUUGAGGGUACCUGUAUAAGAAGCGCCGGCUAACUACGUG
rnacentral:rRNA from 1 species